AAGAGUUUGAUCCUGGCUCAGGAUAAACGCUGGCGGCGUGCCUUAGGCAUGCAAGUCGAGCGGCCCUCCGAUUCGGAGGGUAGCGGCAGACGGGUGAGUAAUCUACCUCGAAGUGAAGGACAUCUCGUCGAAAGACGGGGUAAUCCUGCAUAGUCCCUCCGAUUCGGAGGGUAAAGGGCUUAACUGCCCGCUUUGAGAGGAGCCUUACUCCUAUCAGCUUGUUGGUGGGGUAAAAGCCUACCAAGGCUAUGACGGGUAGCUGGUGUGAGAGCAUGUCCAGCCACAAUGGCACUGAGACACGGGCCAUACACCUACGGGUGGCAGCAACCGGGAAUCGUCGGCAAUGGGCGAAAGCCUGACCGCGCGACGCCGCGUGAAGGAUGAAGCCCUUCGGGGUGUAAACUUCUUUUUGUUUACCAACAUUGGUAUUCGAAUAAGCGCCUACUAACUACGUGCCAGCAGUCGCGGUAAUACGUAGGGCGCAAGCGUUAUCCGAAUUUACUGGGCGUAAAGGGUCGCGUAGGCGGUCUACCGCAUCUUACCGAAAUGGCGAGGCUUAACCUCGUCUGGUGGUAAGAGAUGGGCAGACUUGAGGUUCGGCGGGGUUUCUGGAACUUCCGGUGUAGCAGUGAAAUGCGUUGAUAUCGGAAGGAACACCGAGAGCGAAGGCAGGAAACCAGUCGACACCUGACGCUGAGGCACGACAGCUAGGGGAGCGAAGCAGAUUAGAGCCUGCGUAGUCCUAGCCGUAAACGCAUGAGUGCUAGUUGCCCGGCCGCAAGGCUGGGUGACGCAAGCUAACGCGUUAAGCACUCCGCCUGGGGAGUACGGUCGCAAGAUUAAAACUCAAAGGAAUUGGCGGGGACCCGCACAACCGGUGGAGCAUGUGGUUUAAUUCGAGACGAAGCGAAAGACCUCACCACGGUUUGACAUCUUAACGUUUAUUCUGAUGGAAACAUCGGGAAAUCCGCAAGGAUGUUAAGAAAGCUGCUGCAUGGCUGUCGUCAGCUCGUAUCGUGAGAUGUUCCCUUAAGUGGGGUAACGAGCGCAACCCUUGCCGUUUGUUAAAUACUCAAACGGGGACUGCCCCGACGUUUGUCGGGGAGGAAGGUGAGGACGACGUCAGGUCAGCACGGCGCCUAUGCCGUGGGCCACACACAUCCUACAAUGACGAAGAACAAUGGGACGCAAGGCGGCGACGCCAAGCAAAUCUCUGAAAUUUCGCCUCAGUUGGGAUUGGAGUCUGCAACUCGACUCCAUGAACGCGGAAUCGGUAGUAAUCGCGGAUCAGCAGGCCGCGGUGAAUACGUUCUCGGGUCUUGCACACACCGCCCGUCAAGCCAACAAAGUCGAGGGCGGCCGAUGUCCCGAUUUAUCGGGAUGAAGCCGAACUUGGCGAUGGGGACUAAGUCGUAACAAGGUAACC
rnacentral:rRNA from 1 species